rnacentral:rRNA from 1 species
UACGUAGGGUGCGAGCGUUGUCCGGAAUUAUUGGGCGUAAAGAGCUUGUAGGCGGUCUGUCGCGUCUGCUGUGAAAAUCCGGGGCUCAACCCCGGACUUGCAGUGGGUACGGGCAGACUAGAGUGUGGUAGGGGAGACUGGAAUUCCUGGUGUAGCGGUGAAAUGCGCAGAUAUCAGGAAGAACACCAAUGGCGAAAGCAGCUUUCUGGGACGGUACUGACGCUGAGACGCGAAAGCGUGGGGAGCGAACAGG